UAAGCAGACCGCCUUAUCGCUCGUUUUUUAAUGAGAGGAAAGUCCGGACACCACAGAGAGGCAUAGCGGCUAACGGCCGUCAAUAAUCUAUUUUUCUAGGUUAUUAGGACCAGUGCAACAGAAAGGAUGUACAGGUAAUGCUGUAGUGAAAUCAGGUAAACUCUAUGCGGUGCAAUGUCAUGUAUACCGACAAUUAAGUGCUUCUCGUGCGAUGUCGGAGGGUAGGCAGAUUGAGCAAACAAGUAAUUGUUUGUCUAGAUAAAUGAUAAGGUAUUACUCUUGAGUAAGAACAGAAUCCGGCUUAUAGGUCUGCUUUUUUA
rfam:Leeuwenhoekiella blandensis MED217 scf_1099517004314 genomic scaffold, whole genome shotgun sequence.